rnacentral:rRNA from 1 species
GACGAACGCUGGCGGCGUGCUUAACACAUGCAAGUCGAACGGUGAAGCGCCUUCCUUUUUGGUGGGUGUGGAUGAGUGGCGAACGGGUGAGUAACACGUGAGUAACCUGCCCCCUCCUUCUGGAUAACCGCAUGAAAGUGUGGCUAAUACGGGAUAUUCUGGGUCUGUCGCAUGAUGGGUCUGGGAAAGAUAUUGUUUCGGUGGGGGAUGGGCUCGCGGCCUAUCAGCUUGUUGGUGGGGUGAUGGCCUACCAAGGCGGUGACGGGUAGCUGGCCUGAGAGGGUGGACGGCCACAGUGGGGAGGCGACGCCGACCAGACUACGACGGGAGGCAGCAGGGGGUAAUAUUGCACAAUGGGAGGAAGGCUGAUGCAGCGACGCGGCGGGAGGGAUGGAGGCCGUCGGGUUGUGAACCUCUUUCGCCAGUGAAGCAGGCCUGCCGCGUUUGUGGGUGGGUUGACGGUAGCUGGAUAAGAAGCGCCGGCUAACUACGUG